UUGAAAGGGAAACGAUUGAAGUCAGUCGUACCGACGGAGGAUCAACCUUUGAAAGCGGGUCGAGGUAUUCGAGGAGUUUAAAAGCCCUCUUGCGCUCACGUACUUCGUUUUCUUUGGUGCACUUCUUCGUAUGGUAGGUUAACAUCAAUUUUGGACGUUACAAAAUGAUCGGGGGAAUGUAGCUUCGAUUUUUUUCGAAGUGUUAUAGACCUUGGUAGAUGUGACGACCGGGAUUGAGGAUUGCAACGAAUGCUUUCGGGCUAUCCGUCUGACCUCUGGUGGUUGCUUUAGGGUCGAAAGCGUGCUUACGACUUUAAAGUUGGCUAUCAAAAGGCUAGAACGUGAUUAAAUUCGUUAAGGAUGUUGACGUA
rnacentral:rRNA from 1 species